GGACAAAGAGGUAGCUAGGACAUGCUCCUCUCAUGGCAGCUACAGAAGCAGAAGAGGAGAGCAGGCACACAGGGAGCCUCCCAAGGAGCCAGCCUCUUUCCUUUAAGCAGAACAGAAAUCUUGCUCAUGGAUGUGAAGGAGAAUGACAGAGGAGAGCUGAAUUCCAGAUAAUUAAAAUACUGCUGCAAUAA